rnacentral:rRNA from 1 species
CCUACGGGUGGCAGCAGUGGGGAAUAUUGGACAAUGGGCGAAAGCCUGAUCCAGCCAUGCCGCGUGUGUGAAGAAGGCCUUCGGGUUGUAAAGCACUUUCAGUGGGGAAGAAAGCCUUGGGGCUAAUACCCUCGAGGAAGGACAUCACCCACAGAAGAAGCACCGGCUAACUCCGUGCCAGCAGCCGCGGUAAUACGGAGGGUGCGAGCGUUAAUCGGAAUUACUGGGCGUAAAGCGCGCGUAGGCGGUCUGAUAAGCCGGUUGUGAAAGCCCCGGGCUCAACCUGGGAACGGCAUCCGGAACUGUCAGGCUAGAGUGCAGGAGAGGAAGGUAGAAUUCCCGGUGUAGCGGUGAAAUGCGUAGAGAUCGGGAGGAAUACCAGUGGCGAAGGCGGCCUUCUGGACUGACACUGACGCUGAGGUGCGAAAGCGUGGGUAGCAAACAGGAUUAGAGACCCCAGUAGUC